UACAGAGGUCUCAAGCGUUUGUUCGGAUUCAUUGGGCGUAAAGGGUGCGUAGGCGGCGCGGUAAGUCGGGUGUGAAAUCUUGGAGCUUAACUCCGAAACUGCAUUCGAUACUGCCGUGCUUGAGGACUGGAGAGGAGACUGGAAUUUACGGUGUAGCGGUGAAAUGCGUAGAUAUCGUAAGGAAGACCAGUGGCGAAGGCGGGGUCUCUGGACAGUUCCUGACGCUGAGGCACGAAGGCCCAGGGGGAGCAAACGGGG
rnacentral:rRNA from 1 species